GCCGGGUGCAGUGGCGCAUUCCUGUAAUCCCAGUGGCUCGGGAGGCUGGGACAGGAGAAUCAUGAGUUCAAAGCCAGGCUCAGCAACAGCAAGGUGCUUAGCAGCUCAGUGAGACCCUGUCUCUA
rnacentral:sRNA from 1 species